rnacentral:ncRNA from 1 species
AAGCGUAGAGCUCAUAUAAUUUUGAUGAUAAGGAUCAAAAGUUUCUACCAGACACCAUAAAUGUCUGACUAUGAGUGAAUCUUUAG